AACGAACGCUGGCGGCGUGCCUAACACAUGCAAGUCGUGCGAGAAAGUUCCUUCGGGAGCGAGUAAAGCGGCGCACGGGUGAGUAACACGUAGGUAACCUGCCCCCAGUCUGGAACAACUAGAGGAAACUCUAGCUAAUGCCGGAUGAGACCACGAUCCCUUCGGGGGUUGCGGCCAAAGAUGGCCUCUACUUGUAAGCUAUCGCUGAGGGAUGGGCCUGCGGGCCAUUAGCUUGUUGGUGAGGUAACGGCUCACCAAGGCUGUGAUGGCUAGCUGGUCUGAGAGGAUGACCAGCCACACUGGGACUGAGACACGGCCAGACUCCUACGGAGGCAGCAGUGGGAAUAUUGCGCAAUGGGCGAAAGCCUGACGCAGCGACGCCGCUGGGUGAUGAAGG
rnacentral:rRNA from 1 species